CCUGAGGUAAACUAUCUGUUGUUGCUUUCAGUAUGGCUAUAAAUGUCACAUAUGAUAUUCAAACUCACAUUAGGUAAAUUUAACAUUGAAUAAAGCACAUAAUCAGCACCUGAGAUUAUCGUUGUCAUACAGUAGUUUGAAAGUUGUUCCAGUCACGACAUCGCAGAAAUAGAAACCGUUUCUAAAACAGAAACGUCACGUGUGCGCCAUUGCAGCUGUUUAGGACAAAAACUUAGAUUAACAUGGAAAAGAUACUUUUUAUCGCUCGUCGCAUCACGUGUAGUUAGGACACAAUGUAGUUCUGAGUGUUUCAGCACAUUGGUUGCUAAGGUGUUUUGAAUGCUUUUGCACUUUGUUGCUAUGGUGUUCUGAGUGCUUAAUAUGGCAUUGCUAUGUGGUUGCUAAGGUGUUCUGAGCGUUUCAGUGUAUUGGCAGCUAGGUUAAGGUGUUCUGAAUGUUUUUGGCGUUUGUUGUUAAGGUGUUCUGAAUGUUUUUGGCGUUUGUUGUUAAGGUGUUCUGAAUGUUUUUGGCGAUGUUGCUACUGUAGGUGGUUGUUAAGGUGUUCUGAGCAGUUACUGCGGUGUUUCUAGGUGGUAGCUAAGUAAUUUUGACUAGGGCGUUGCUUGGUGGUUUUUUAGGUGUUCUUAGUAUUUCAGCUCAUUGCGAGUGGUUACUAGGAUGUUGCUAGGUGGUUGUCAAGGUGUUCUGAGUGGUUAAUGUGGUGUUUCUAGGUGGCUGCUAAGCUGUUUUGAGGGGGUACUAGGGCAUUGCUAGGCGAUAGUGAUGGUGUGCUGAGUGUUUGAACGCACUGGUUACUAAAAUAUUGCUAGAUUGAUAAAGUGUUGUGAACGAUUUGGCAGUUCAUUGUUAAAGCGUUCUGAAUGGUUACUAGGGUGUUGCUAGGUGGUUGCCAAGGUGUUUUAACACAUUGCUGUGGAGUUCUAUGUAGUUAUUAGAAUUGCUAGGAUAUUUUGGGAGGUAGCUAACUGGGCCAAAUUUGAAAAGUUUCUAUGUGAGCAUGUGUGUGUAUGUAUGUGUAAGGAUAUGUAUAGAUAUAAAUUAUAUACAUGGCUUUAAUGAAGUAUGUUUUACUGCAGAAAUAUACAGUGCUCAUGUUGAAUUAAAUAAAAUAAAAGGGUUGGGGGAUUCAGUCAGAAAUAUGACUUCCCAGUUUGUUGAAUCCACUCUCAUAUAAAACGAGUUCAGCUGUGGUUCUAUGUAAUUGAAAUCUAUUUUUGUUGGUGUGCAGUGAAUGAAUUCUAAGACUACACUAGAACACAGGCGUCGCUCCACAAGGGCUGCUCUGAAGUGCUUGCUUCAGCUUAAGCAGAACUUAUGCCUACUCUUCAAUGUCAUCUUUUAAAAUGCACUUCAUUCCUUUGUGUUUUCCUCUGCGGAGACGUCCAACCCUAUGGAAUUGCUCAUAAUAUGGAAGAGCUCUAAAAUAAAGUGUGAAAUAACAUGUGGUGGUGCAUUUAAAACACGACAUUAGAUUCAAAGAAGCUCUUCAACACUGACAGUUAUUAUGAGGGAUAUUUUGAUUGUUUUAAGUGUGUAUCUAUAAUAUGUCAGCAUAGAAGCAGAAUAUAUUAUAUUCAGGGUCUCUGCAGGUGUAAGGCCUUUUAAAGCUAAAUUUGUGCUUCACACACA
ensembl:lncRNA